CGUCGCUGCAGCUGCCAGGAGCUCCUGAGGAAGUGGCUCGAGGCCCCGGGGCGGGUCAGGCGUAGGGUGGGCCCGCUGCCCUCACACCCGCCCCGGCCGCACACAGGAGGCGCGAUCAGCAGAGUCGUUGGACAGUUCUGGAGGCCGGAAGUUGAGAUCAAGGUGUCAGCAGGGCUGUGCUCUGCGGAGAAUGCUGGGGAAGGAUCUGUCCAGGACUCUCUCCGCUUCUGGUGGUUCCUUGGCAUGUGGCAGCAUCACUCCAAUCAGCAUGUGGCAUCCUCCCUGUGUGCCUGGGUCUGUGUCCAGACUUCCCCUUUUCAGAAGGACACCAGCUGUGUUGAAUGACAGCCCACCUGGCUCCAGUGUGACCUCAUUCUAACUUAACUAACAUCUGCAAUGACCCUGUUUCCAAAUGAGGUCACAAUCUG
rnacentral:lncRNA from 1 species